rnacentral:rRNA from 1 species
UCGAAGAUCAUGGCUAGACCGGCGGUGAUGGUGAUGUGUGUGGUGUUCGUAGUGGUGGUGUCGCUGAGCGCGGUGGUGGCGGAGUUGGAAUGCAAGCCACACAUGCUUAAGCCUUGCGAUCCAGCCAUCAUAGAGGGUAAGGCCCCUUUGAACUUGUGCUGCUCGAACCUCCGGGCGCAGAAGAUGUGCAUCUGCGCUUACUUGGAGAAUCCGAUGUACCAGGGCUACAUCCAAGGCCCCUACUUCCUCAACACAAUCACCUCAUGCAACAUAGAUCCUGGAGUGUGUCCAUUUACAUAA